rnacentral:rRNA from 1 species
UACGUAGGGUCCGAGCGUUGUCCGGAAUUAUUGGGCGUAAAGAGCUCGUAGGCGGUCUGUCACGUCGGCUGUGAAAACACGGGGCUCAACUCCGUGCCUGCAGUCGAUACGGGCAGACUAGAGUUCGGUAGGGGAGACUGGAAUUCCUGGUGUAGCGGUGAAAUGCGUAGAUAUCAGGAGGAACACCGGUGGCGAAGGCGGGUCUCUGGGCCGAAACUGACGCUGAGGAGCGAAAGCGUGGGGAUCAAACAGG